AUUGAACGCUGGCGGCAGGCCUAACACAUGCAAGUCGAGCGGAUGAGUGGAGCUUGCUCCAUGAUUCAGCGGCGGACGGGUGAGUAAUGCCUAGGAAUCUGCCUGGUAGUGGGGGACAACGUUUCGAAAGGAACGCUAAUACCGCAUACGUCCUACGGGAGAAAGUGGGGGAUCUUCGGACCUCACGCUAUCAGAUGAGCCUAGGUACGAUUAGCUAGUUGGUGAGGUAAAGGCUCACCAAGGCGACGAUCGUUAACUGGUCUGAGAGGAUGAUCAGUCACACUGGAACUGAGACACGGACCAGACUCCUACGGGAGGCAGCAGUGGGGAAUAUUGGACAAUGGGCGAAAGCCUGAUCCAGCCAUGCCGCGUGUGUGAAGAAGGUCUUCGGAUUGUAAAGCACUUUAAGUUGGGAGGAAGGGCAGUAAGUUAAUACCUUGCUGUUUUGACGUUACCGACAGAAUAAGCACCGGCUAACUUCGUGCCAGCCGCCGCCGUAAUAC
rnacentral:rRNA from 1 species